ACGGAAUAAGCGGCUUUGCAGGCAAAGGCUCUUGGUUUGUAUGGGAAAGUUGUGAAGUGGGCACAUGUGUGCCGUAAGUGGCGGGCUGAGCAGGGGGGAAAACACACACAGUGUUCAAGGAAACGCAGAGUUGAUUACAUUAGGAGCAUUUCGGCAGGAGGCUCUCUGUCCUCCUGGGAGGACGAGGGAAGCAAAGCCUCUUCUCUGCUCUUGGAUGUUCUCCGGGGCAAAGCAAUGCGUGGGGAAAGCAUCAGGCAUCCUCAGUAACACAUUUUGUGGGCACUUGAGGAAUUGUGGGAGUUGAAGUCCAAAACAACCGGAGGGCAGAAGUUUGCCUAUGCCUGCUGUAAAGUAAACAAAUGCAACUUGGCAGCACUUUUAACUGUCAUGACUCAAUGCUACAAAAUCCUGGGAGUUUCAGAAAGUCUUCGGGCUGGUGACUCCCUCCCUGAAGCCCAGGUACCUGAACAACACAGAAGUUCUGUAGAAGACUCAUCUUGGAGAGGACCACAGGCAGGUUGGUCUUGGGGAAAAGCCUCCUCAAUGUUCAGGAAAAGACCUUACCGCCUCUUUGACCAGGCAUUUCUGCAAUCCCAGGACAAAUCAAUGGCUUCCCAAAUACACCAGAACUACCAGGCAGAGUAUGAACCUGCUGUGAGCAGACUCAUUAACUUGGAACACGAUGCUAGCUCUGCGUACUUGUCUAUGUCCUAUCACUUUGACAUCGGAGCAAAUGCGAUUCUCCUCCUCGGCGCCCGAGUUAAUGAGCAUCCUUUUGUGCCACAGGUUCUCCAAAAUGAAAAAUCACAAGGAUUGUUUUGGCGGGUAAUUUAUGCCCCCGAACAAAACACCAAAUAACUCCAACUGGGAUUAGAAACUCCCCAGCGAAGGAGGUGAUGAAUAAGUAAUGUCUGGAAGGGGAGCCGGGAAAGAGAGGGAAGCGUAGAACGGCUCUAGGCCUCUGCGAACACUGCUUUCUGGUCCCAGAGGCGAUACCAGUACUGCUCUUGAUGCCAGAAUUACUUUCAAUUAGAUGAGAAACAAAAACCUGUGCCUUUCCAAACAAGAGAUGAGCUGCAACCUGUGACUGGCCAAGGUAGAAUUGCCAUGUGAAAACUGAACAAGGCUCCUACCCUUUGUGGGACAUGCAUGGAGGAGGGCCUGUCAACAAAGGAUAGUUGGUAAUGCAAGCUCCAGCCCUUGAAAUCCUGUCAUUGGCACAAAGUACAUGAACACCAUCCUGUUAAUGGAGCAGCUCUUGAAUAUUUUAUUUAAAAACCCUAAAAAUCCCUUACCUAGAUGACUCUUACUCAAAAAUCUUGUUUUUCCAUGAAAGUGUUGAUAGGACAUGUUCUGCCUGACAUUUGCUCUUUGCUCACAAUAUAAGGUCAUGCAAACUGCAGUAAUGAUUUGGCUGCUGGAUGAUGCAUAUGUAGGAUGAAGUAUGAACAUGUCACCUGAGGAUAGUGCAUACGUGGAGCAAACUAUGGACACUUCACCUGAUGUGAUGAGUAAUGAGUUAUAUAAGUUACAAGGCAACUACGCAUGUCCAAAAGGAUAAUAAUAGUCAGCAAAUUCCAUUGUCAGUUAGCUUUCUGCGCAUGCUUCCGUAAAAUUGUAUAUAUUGGGAAACCACUAUAGGCAAGGGGUGGCAUUGCAUUUUCUGGGCAUUAGCUAACAUUGUCACCUACUCUUGGCCAAAAGUAAACUAUCUGGAAGACAAC
rnacentral:lncRNA from 11 species